GCCGAUGUGGUGAAAUUGGUAGACACGCCGUCUUGAGGGGGCGGUGGCGCAAGCCAUGCCGGUUCGAGUCCGGCCAUCGGCA
rnacentral:tRNA from 1 species